rnacentral:ncRNA from 1 species
GACGCGCAUCACGAGCGGCUGCCGGGGUUUCCCGNCGGUCCGGCAACCUGGGUCGGAAGCCCCAAGGUGCCAGCCCACCCGACGGUGGGGAUGUGUUCGGCUCGGCCGGCAACGAAGCUUCCGUCG